rnacentral:rRNA from 1 species
ACGCUGGCGGCAUGCUUAACACAUGCAAGUUGAACGAAUAGUAGCAAUACUAUGAGUGGCAAACGGGUGAGUAAUACGUAGGAAUCUACCCUGUAGUAUGGGACAACAGUUGGAAACGGCUGCUAAUACCAUAUACGCUCUUUUAGAGGAAAGAUUUAUCGCUAUAGGAUGAGCCUGCGCUAAAUUAGGUUGUUGGUAGGGUAAUGGCCUACCAAGCCGAUGAUUUAUAGCUGGUCUGAGAGGACGAUCAGCCACACUGGAACUGAGACACGGUCCAGACUCCUACGGGAGGCAGCAGUGAGGAAUAUUGGACAAUGGGCGCAAGCCUGAUCCAGCAAUGUCGCGUGAAUGAUGAAGGCCUUAGGGUUGUAAAGUUCUUUCGGUAGGGAAGAAAAUGACGGUACCUACAGAAGAAGCUCCGGCUAACUCCGUGCCAGCAGCCGCGGUAAU